rnacentral:rRNA from 1 species
CUAUCGCAUUGGGAUGAGUUUGCGUACCAUUAGCUAGUUGGUGAGGUAACGGCCCACCAAGGCGACGAUGGUUAGCGGGUCUGAGAGGAUGAUCCGUCACACUGGCACUGGAACACGGGCCAG